GUGAAGGUAAAGGAGGCCCGGAGGGCCCCUACCCACCUUUCUCCUUAGCAGCAGCUGCUCUACUGGCAAGAAGGCCAGCAACAUGCCCAGCUCUUGGCCUUGAGGCCACUGUGAGUCAUGAGGAGGCUGAACCCCCUUCCAAUCAAAUGGCAGUGUAUCCGACAGACCUCACCCUGCAAUUGUUGGCUGUGAGGCGGAAGAGUGGACUGCGGAGCCCCAGCCUACAGCAGACCCUGAGAAGCCGACUCCGCCUGCUGGAGAAUGACAGCCGGGAAGUGGCCCGAGUACUUGGAGAACUGUCAGCCAGGCUGCUGUCCAUCCACAGUGACCAGGACCGGAUCGUGGUGAC
rnacentral:lncRNA from 1 species